rnacentral:rRNA from 1 species
AUACAAUCUCCGAGCCCGCAGACGCUCCGCUAACUCGUAUGCAGCGGCGGACGGGUGAGUAAUGCCUAGGAAGCUGCCUGGUAGUGGGGGCUAACGUCCGGAAAAGGGCGGUAAUAACGCAGACUAUCAGAGGAGCCUAGGUCGGAUUAGCUAGUUGGUGGGGUAAAGGCCUACCAAGGCGACGAUCCGUACCUGGUCUGAGAGGAUGAUAAGUCAUACUGUAGUUGAGACACGGUCCAGAGUCCUACGGGAGGCCGCCGUGGGGAAUAUUGGUCAUGGGGCGAAAGCCUUUUCCAGCCAUGCCUCGUGUGUGAAGAAGGUCUUCGGAUUGUAAAGCACUUUAAGUUGUGAUGCGUUACCAACAGAAUAAGCACCGGCUAACUUCGUGCCAGCAGCCGCGGUAAUUC